ACUGCGAGUGAAGCGGGAAAAGCUCAAAUUUAAAAUCUGGUAGUCUUUGGCUGCCCGAGUUGUAAUCUAGAGAAGUGUUAUCCGCGCUGGACCGUGUACAAGUCUCCUGGAAUGGAGCGUCAUAGAGGGUGAGAAUCCCGUCUUUGACACGGACUACCAGGGCUUUGUGAUGCGCUCUCAAAGAGUCGAGUUGUUUGGGAAUGCAGCUCUAAAUGGGUGGUAAAUUCCAUCUAAAGCUAAAUAUUGGCGAGAGACCGAUAGCGAACAAGUACCGUGAGGGAAAGAUGAAAAGAACUUUGGAAAGAGAGUUAAACAGUACGUGAAAUUGUUGAAAGGGAAACGCUUGAAGUCAGUCGCGUUGGCCAGGGAUCAACCUUGCUUUUUCGCUUGGUGUACUUUCUGGUUGAUGGGUCAGCAUCAAUUUUGACCAGUGGAAAAAGGUYAGGGGAAUGUGGCAUCUUCGGAUGUGUUAUAGCCCUUGGUUGCAUACAUUGGUUGGGAUUGAGGAACUCAGCACGCCGCAAAGGCCGGGUAACUAUUACCACGAUCGUGCUUAGGAUGCUGGCAUAAUGGCUUUAAUCGACCCGUCUUGA
rnacentral:rRNA from 1 species